rnacentral:lncRNA from 10 species
UAUGACUCCAAGACAGAUGAACGGCGACAGCCCUAACUGGCAAUGCCAAGAAAUCUCAGAAUAAACAAACAGCAUAUAAUUGUACGCUGAGAUUCUAGAGAUGGCCACACAAUGAGAGUCAUGCCUAGGCACUGAGAAAUGUGGACAGAGGAAAUACCCUGGUAUCUUCCACCUGAAGCAGCAGCCACCGCUGUCAGAACCCUCUGGGGAGGCUGUGAUCACCAAGAACCCAAGGGCUGGAGACGUUCCUUCUGACGGUGCUGAGAAAGUCCAGCUGCGGAGGAAAGGAGAGGGCCAGGCUAUUCAGAAAGCUUCCCAAGGAAUCCAAGCCUUCUCUCUCACAGGGAACAUAGCAGGACGAGGUCGAUCCACUGCCCGUUUCAAAAGACAGAAGGUGGAGCAUUAACCAAGAAGAUGCCAGGACCCAUCAACUUGCAUCAACUGUGAUGGUAACAGAAGAAAGAGCAAAUUCUGGCUGCAGGUCUGUCACCAAAUUGGGAGAAGGCAGAGUCAAAAUUGUGGUUCCAGCAAGACAGGGCUGCAAAGAAGCUCCUCCAGUUUGGAAGCAGAUGCUACAGCCCAGUGAGAUGGUGGUUGCGGAGCCAGCCAAAGAACACCAUGUUGGUCAGAAGGCGAUGCACGGCACAAACUGAAAUGUAAGUGAAAACGACUACUGUUCCUGUUGGAUCUGUACAGAUAAAACAAGAUUGGACACCAUAUGAGACACAGCGGUGGACUGAGGAACGGCUAGCAUCACUGCUUCCCUCCUGCCAGUGGCCUUGCCAGUGUCACAGCAGGCAGCAAGUGACCAGCAGCUCUCAGCACAGGGGGGACAGCUGGCCAAAGUACAACUGUCCCUACCAUCAGACCCACCUCAGGCCACUGACUUUGUGUAUGUGGCAGAGAUUACAGCUGCUACCUAUUGCCAUUCUCUCUUCUUUCUUAGUAACACAGUCCUGCUUUUUAGCUGGACAUGUUGCCACUUAAGAAUAAAGACUGCCUUCCCCAGCCUCCCUCAAAACUAGGAGUGACCAGUGAGAUGCAAAUGGAAGUGUUGUGUUGGACUUCUUGGAGUGUUUCUCAGAUGAUUGAGGGAGCCCUUCUUCCUCACUUUUUCCUUUCUGGUGCUUCAACUGUAGGAAUAAUGGCUGGAGCUCUGGCAGCCAUCUUAGGCUGUGAGAUUGCCUUGAUAUUGGAAGUGAUACCAGGCAAAAAUAGAAGACAGAAAGGAACCGGGUUACCUGAUAACUUCAUGGAGCCACCACAUCGGCCCUAGGUUGCCU